UGAGGAAUAUUGGUCAAUGGGCGCAAGCCUGAACCAGCCAUCCCGCGUGCAGGAAGACGGCGCUAUGCGUUGUAAACUGCUUUUCCAGGGGAAGAAAACCUGAUACGUGUAUCGGCUUGCCGGUACCCUGGGAAUAAGCAUCGGCUAACUCCGUGCCAGCAGCCGCGGUAAUACGGAGGAUGCGAGCGUUAUCCGGAUUUAUUGGGUUUAAAGGGUGCGUAGGCGGAUUAAUAAGUCAGUGGUGAAAACCUGCAGCUUAACUGUAGACUUGCCAUUGAUACUGUUAGUCUUGAGUGUGGUCAAGGUAGGCGGAAUGUGUAAUGUAGCGGUGAAAUGCUUAGAUAUUACACAGAACACCGAUUGCGAAGGCAGCUUACUGGGCCAUUACUGACGCUGAUGC
rnacentral:rRNA from 1 species